rnacentral:rRNA from 1 species
AUUGAACGCUGGCGGCAGGCCUAACACAUGCAAGUCGAGCGCGCGCCGCACGGGUGAGUAAUGUAUGGGGGCUGCCUGAUAGAGGGGGAAAUACUCGAAACGCUGUCUCAUACCCCAUACUAUCGGAUUGCCCAUAUGUGGUUUGCUAGUGGGUGUGGUAAUGGCUCACCUAGGCGACGAUCCCUCGCUGGUCUGAGAGGAUGAUCAGCCACACUGGGACUGAGACACGGCCCAGACUCCUACGGAGGCAGCAGUGGGGAAUAUUGCACAAUGGGCGCAAGCCUGAUGCAGCCAUGCCGCGUGUAUGAAGAAGGCCUUAGGGUUGUAAAGUACUUUCAGUCGGGAGGCGUUACCGACAGAAGAAGCACCGGCUAACUCCGUGCCAGCAGCCGCGGUAAUUC